rnacentral:lncRNA from 1 species
CAAGACAGUAAAAAAACUAUGGAAAAACAAUUUUAUAUAUGUGUGUGUGUGUGUAUUUAUAUCUCUAAUUUAUGGAUGAGUCAAUGCUCACUAGUACUAAUAAUUAACAAACAGAAAAAACAGUCACAUUUCAGUUGACAAUUGCACCUCAUUAUAAACAUAAACACUAACCGCGACGUGCAUGCAACAACUAUUCCCCCGGGCUCGAUCGUCGUAUAUAUUCA